rnacentral:lncRNA from 12 species
GGAGGGGGAACCCAUGGGAGACCCCAUGGGAGAGAAAAAAGAAUGGGGGGAGUUUGUGGGGGGAGAGAGGAAGGGGGGACCCUGGGAGAGAGGUGGGGUGGGGGAGCCCAUGGGGGACCCGGUGGGGGAGGAGGGAUGAAGGAACCAGGACCGGCCUGGGAGGGGGAAGCAGGGCACAGGGGGGAGCCCCUGGUGUGGGGAGAGCCCUUGCACCAUGUCCUUCCCGACAGGCGGCCAAGGAAUAAUGUGGCCGCGACCUUCGAGCAGAGGGACAUGCCCAUUGGUGUCUCCCGCAUGUCCCCCCCAUCCCUGUUCCCUGACCCAGGGUUCAGCUGCCCACACAGGACCCCUGUAGGAGUGCUCAGUCCCUGCAGAACGGCUGACAUAGGCUCCCUGCCCUGGAGCCCGGCCACCCAUCCAUGUGGGCCCCCCCCCCCCCACGACACCCAGGAUCGUGUUACAGGCCCCCAAGAUGCUGCUGCCUGGCUCCGGGCCCUGUGGCCUCCUGGGUGGUCAGGCUCCUGUGAGGGUGCCCCGUGCCCCUCUGGGGGUGCACUAGGGAGCCUGCCUAUGCCCUGUGCCCUCCUCCUGAGGGUGCCAACUCCCCACCCAGGGCCUUCUGCCCCACCUGUGGCGACUCAGCGAAGCCCUCCCUCCUCUGGGGCUAGCGCGCCUGACAUGGUCACCCACCAUCCCCAGUGAGGGGGGCCUGGCUGCAGCCUGGCAGUGCCCCGGCUGGGGCGGUGGGUGGGGGGGAGAGUGGAGAAGACACUGGGGACUGAGCACCCAUAUCCCCCACCUGAGCCACCAUGGCCACUCGGCCCUCUCCAUCCCUCCUGGGCCAGGCACACAGGGCCCCAGGAAGCACCUGCCGUUGCCCUGGGUGAAGUAGUGCAGGUGGGGGAGCUGCAUGUGCAAGGAGGCUCGAGGGCCUGGGCGCGGUGGCCUGGGCGCGGCUGGGUGACGGUCCCCCCCCAUGGUGCUGACUCGCUCACAGCAGCACUGUCCACCUCCACCCCUGCCGUCCAGCAAGGCCAGAGACUCCUGGAGGCCCCUUGGGGCCAGGGAGGCCACCCCCACUGGGCAGCCCUGCCCGAUUACAAAUGACAAUGUCACCAGCGCUGGUCAGAGGCUUUCCGGGUGCUGUGCUUCGUCGUUUGUAGCACCCGGCAGCCAGGGAAGCACGGGAGCAGGCACACAGCGUCUGGAAGGCUCUGCACACGUGCUCUUCUGCUCCUCGAAGGUCUUCGGAGGCUGCGAGCUGACUGCACAUAAACCACCACAGCCACCACGUUCCUGGGGGCACAGUCCACUUCCCUCCACGCCCGGCACACGGGGGAUGCAUCUGUGUAAGCAUCAAGACCUCAGCACCCCCGAGGGGCCCCAGGAGGGUGGGCACCUGCAGCCAGCCUCGAGGGCAGGCCCUGCUGUCACCUCCUGGCCCAGGGGAUCCCUCCCUGUCCACAGGGUAAGCAAAGGUGGGCUGGCCGCUCAGCACAGUGACACAGGCUGCGGCUCACCAGCUGGCCCUCUCCAGGGCAUAGCCCUGUGGCAGGAAACGCGCCCUGUCAUGCAGCCAUCACCCCUGCAACUUCUGUCUUCCCACCGAAAUCCCGGUCCAGGUAAACACUGCCCACCCACCCCACCCCCAUCCCGCCCCACUGCCCACCACCCUGCUCCCUGUGUCCGAGCACUUGACUGCUCUGGGGGCUGGUGGCGGUGGGGCCUGUGCAGACAGGCCCUGUGA